GAAGUGCGAUAAGCAAUGCGAAUUGCAGAAUUCCGCGAAUCAUCAGAUCUUUGAACGCAAAUGGCGCUGGAGGGAUAUCCUUCCAGCAUGUCUGUUUCAGUGUCUGAGAGGUUUCACACUAAUCUUAAUGUGAUUGAAGGGUUGGUUGGUUGGUUGGUUGAUUGAUUGAUUAAUUUUGAUCGAUCACACACUCACUCACACACAGCUCUUCUCUCAUGAAAGAUGCGUGAGUGGAUCUUUCGGUCCAAUGAAGUGGUCACAUCACUCGUAUGUGAUUUCAUUGGGAAAAUCACCGAAUUAUCCGUAUGCUCACAGUACCAUAAACAAACAAACAAACAAACCUUCCAUACCCUGCAUCUGAGAUAGGCAAGAUCACCCGCUGAACUUAA
rnacentral:misc_RNA from 1 species